UCACAAGGCCAGGAGGGACACAGUGCAGGAAGAGCGUGGCUCAGAAGCCCCUGGGAGUUUUCCAGACGGAACCCUGAGCCCGCACCUGGAUCCCGCCUGCCCAUCCCGCCGGAGGUCACGGCGGGGCUGCCCCCGAGGCCGUGGGAGGGCUGAGGGAGGCUGGCGGGAGGCUUCGGCACGCCUUGUUGGCUCUGCUGGGUUCUGAGAGGGCUGCACCUUGGCCUUGGCGGAGGAGAAGAGUUCUUUAUUUCCUCCAGCCCCGAGGCUGCCAGCCCCCAGGCCGAGGUGAGCCCUGUCUCCUCCUGCAGGCCCCAUGCAGCGGGGCCAGGCGGGUGGGCAGGGGGCUCCUCUGACCCUCCGUGCACGCCCGUUCCUCCUCCUCAGCGCUACCCCCAGCUGUUUUUCCUUUCUCCUCCCCACCCCCAAGGCCAGUGCCCAGUUAUUUACCCAAAGAAAACAGGGAAGUGACACGGUAACAGAGUAUGCAUGUUGUGAAAAUCUGCAGGCUGGGGCUGAAGGAAAAAAAAAAAAAAAACAACAUUCUUCCAUAAGUAGCUGCCUUGUUAAUUCAUUUUUUUCUCCAGAUUAGAACCAGCCAUUUCUUGUGCUCCUUCCAGCACCUUCUGUGGUUUCCUGACAGCUGCCUGAGAGGGGUGGAAGUGAGCCCGUUUGCACCCCCUGUUGGGAUGCUAGAAAUGUGAAGACCACUCUUCCAGAAUAAGAAGCAAGGCCCCAGCCGGAGCCGGCCGGAAAAGGACCUCCGAGUUCUCAAUGAGCUGGGGCGGCUCAGAGAUGCCUUUUAUUCCUGGAGCACAGGACGCAAGGCAGGUUUGCAGGAUCCAAGGCGGAACAGCACCUGGGUUUCUGGGGUGUUUGUAUUUGAGGGUAGAGGUGCCAGAUUCUGCAAAUAAAAAUACAGAGCACCUAUUUAAAUCUGAAUUUCAGAUUAAAAAAAUGAAUACUUUUCUCGUAUAAGUACGUUCCAUAAAAUAUCUGGAACAUAUGUGUAUUGAAAAAUGAGUCCUUGCUUGUCUGAAAGCCAAAUUGCGUUGCGGGUUCUGUGUUUUAUCUGGCAACCCUCCUUGCUUGGUUCCUAAACACCAGCAACUCCCAAACCAGCCUGGCUGGCUAGAGCUGAGCCUGCUGUGGGGGGCACAGCUAACAACCCAAUUCCUGCUCCUCACCACAUCCUUUCCAAGAAAGCUGGCUGGCCUGGCCAUCAGGGCACCCAGGAAAGAAAGGGGAGCAAAAGCCACCAGCGGCCCACGGACACUGUGCCCCCUGCUGUUGGGCUCCCUGAGGCCAGCGGCCACAGGGGACAUUUAGCACGAGGGAGCAGGGAUGGUGAGAGGCCUCAGGGGGCAGGAGGAGGCGUGGGAAGGGUUGGUGCCCGGGACAGGGAAGGGUCCAG